rnacentral:rRNA from 1 species
CCUUACCAGGCCUUGACAUGCAGAGAACUUUCCAGAGAUGGAUUGGUGCCUUCGGGAACUCUGGCACAGGUGCUGCAUGGCUGCCGUCAGCUCGUGUCGUGAGAUGUUGGGUUAAGUCCCGUAACGAGCGCAACCCUUGUCCUUAGUUACCAGCACGUUAAGGUGGGCACUCUAAGGAGACUGCCGGUGACAAACCGGAGGAAGGUGGGGAUGACGUCAAGUCAUCAUGGCCCUUACGGCCUGGGCUACACACGUGCUACAAUGGUCGGUACAAAGGGUUGCCAAGCCGCGAGGUGGAGCUAAUCCCAUAAAACCGAUCGUAGUCCGGAUCGCAGUCUGCAACUCGACUGCGUGAAGUCGGAAUCGCUAGUAAUCGUGAAUCAGAAUGUCACGGUGAAUACGUUCCCGGGUCUUGUACACACCGA